rnacentral:rRNA from 1 species
AGUCGAGGGGUAUGGUUCUUCGGAACCAGAGACCGGCGCACGGGUGCGUAACGCGUAUGCAAUCUGCCUUUCACAGAGGGAUAGCCCAGAGAAAUUUGGAUUAAUACCUCAUAGUAUAGCGACAUCGCAUGAUGAUGCUAUUAAAGUCACAACGGUGAAAGAUGAGCAUGCGUCCCAUUAGCUAGUUGGUAAGGUAACGGCUUACCAAGGCAACGAUGGGUAGGGGUCCUGAGAGGGAGAUCCCCCACACUGGUACUGAGACACGGACCAGACUCCUACGGGAGGCAGCAGUGAGGAAUAUUGGUCAAUGGGCGCAAGCCUGAACCAGCCAUGCCGCGUGCAGGAUGACGGUCCUAUGGAUUGUAAACUGCUUUUGCACAGGAAGAAACACUGAUUCGUGAAUCAGCUUGACGGUACUGUGAGAAUAAGGAUCGGCUAACUCCGUGCCAGCAGCCGCGGUAAUACGGAGGAUCCAAGCGUUAUCCGGAAUCAUUGGGUUUAAAGGGUCCGUAGGCGGUCUGGUAAGUCAGUGGUGAAAGCCCAUCGCUCAACGGUGGAACGGCCAUUGAUACUGCUGGACUUGAAUUAUUAGGAAGUAACUAGAAUAUGUAGUGUAGCGGUGAAAUGCUUAGAGAUUACAUGGAAUACCAAUUGCGAAGGCAGGUUACUACCAGUGGAUUGACGCUGAUGGACGAAAGCGUGGGUAGCGAACAGGAUUAGAUACCCUGGUAGUCCACGCCGUAAACGAUGGAUACUAGCUGUUGGAAGCAAUUUCAGUGGCUAAGCGAAAGUGAUAAGUAUCCCACCU